rnacentral:rRNA from 1 species
UUGAGUUUGAUCAUGGCUCAGAGCGAACGCUGGCGGCAGGCUUAACACAUGCAAGUCGAGGGGCAUCUUCGGGUGUCAGCGGCGGACGGGUGAGUAACGCGUGGGAACGUGCCCUCUGGUCGGAAUAACUCAGGGAAACUUGAGCUAAUACCGGAUACGCCCUUUUGGGGAAAGGCUUGCGCCGGAGGAUCGGCCCGCGUCUGAUUAGCUAGUUGGUGAGGUAACGGCUCACCAAGGCGAGAUCAGUAGCUGGUCUGAGAGGAUGAUCAGCCACACUGGGACUGAGACACGGCCCAGACUCUACGGGAGGCAGCAGUGGGGAAUAUUGGACAAUGGGCGCAAGCCUGAUCCAGCCAUGCCCGUGAGUGAUGAAGGCCUUAGGGUUGUAAAGCUCUUUUAUCCGGGACGAUAAUGACGGUACGGAGGAAUAAGCCCCGGCUAACUUCGUGCCAGCAGCCGCGGUAAUACGAAGGGGGCUAGGUUGCUCGGAAUCACUG